CAGCGCCACGAGUAGCAAUCAUAAUUAUUGGGCCUAAAGCGUUGGUAGCUGGUUUGGUGAAUCUUUUGUGAAAUCAUUGGGCUUAACCUAAUGGACUGCGAAAGACACUACCAGACUUGAGACCGGGAGGAGUUAGGGGUAUUCUUGGUGGAGCGGUAAAAUGCUAUAAUCCCAAGAGGACCACCUGUGGCGAAGGCGCCUAACUAGAACGGUUCUGACAGUGAGGAACGAAAGCCAGGGGAGCAAACCGGAUUAGAGACCCGAGUAGUCC
rnacentral:rRNA from 1 species